rnacentral:lncRNA from 1 species
UGUAAGUCGUCUGAGAUUCUGUGAUAGGAAAACUCCUCCAUCGCCUCCAGAUUCUCAGUAGUCUGUUACACUCACCAAAACCUUAAGGAUUAUGAAGUCACACUGAAUUCCCAGAACAUCAGACCCACCCAUCUCCAAAUAUGACAACAAAAACACAUUCCAGAGCCAAAUAUAAACACAUUUUUAAUUAUCUGCGCCACUGCUCCCUCCCAUUAGUGUGGGAAAUCAAGAAUCUUGAGCCCUUCAGGGGCUGAGGUUGAAUCUGGUACAACAUCUCUGCCUGUAUCUGGUGCCCAGCCUAGAAGCUGGUGUAGAUGAGGGGCCAGGAAAGGGAUGGAGGAUCCUGCAGCAUGGCCUGGGAAUUCAGGACUUCAACGACAAUGAAGAAGAAAUACUGCCAAGAGCUGAGUAUGAUGAGAAGAAUGGCCUGAACUGACCACAGCAGCAGACUCUGGGCUGGCUGGACAGUAAACAAGGGAAGACUGAGUUCUCUCCAUCCCACUCUUUCCAGUGAAGGAGCUGCACUGAAGCUCAGCUCCCCAUAGGACUGAAUACUUUCUCUUCUUGGUAAAGAGGCUACAAUAUCUCCUGAGCACUGAAGUCUCCAAGUACUGGACAGCUGGUAUUCCUAGGAAACUCCUGCAGGAUGCUAGUCCCUUGUAUCCAGUCACUCUGUGCCAAGAGGUCCGUUGUAUCCCCCAUGGAUAAAGUUGCUCUCAAAAUGGCACUUUCUAAAGUGGCAAGAGGGAGGAUCUCUCCACUGGAAUGGCAGACCCACCUUUACCUAUUCAAAGUGGUAUGGAAUUGUUCUAAACUCUGGUGCACAGCAGGCAGAGGCCAGAAGGGCUCUACCUUGCAGGAUCCUCCUAGCCCUGAGUCCCCAGUGCUCACAGGAUGAAGUUUGAGAUCCUUAGCCUGUCUCCCCAGUGCCUCCAUGAUCUGGCCUUGGCUAUUUCUCUGGCUCCCUGCACCCCUCCUUGCCCAUUUACUUAUAAUUCCUGAAUAUGCAUGCUGUUUUAGGUCUCUGAGGUUUUGCACAUGCUUGUCUUCUCGUCUAGAAUGUCUUUCUUCCAUCUUUCUCCUUGAUCCUGUACAGAGGAGAACUUCUAUUCAUCCUUCAAAAUGCCAUUAAAGUAUCACCUCCUCUCUGAAGGCCUCCUGGAUUCUUAUCACCUUUAUUCCAAGAUAUAUAUGAGUACGAGUUAAGAAAAAAUGGAUUCGUUUUAGCUCUUCAUUCUCCUUCCCCACUUCCAGGGAGGAGAGGCCAUUAUUAUUUAUUUCUUAUUAGAAAGACAAGAUGGAAGAAAGGAAGGAAGGAAA